rnacentral:rRNA from 1 species
UGGGGAAUAUUGCACAAUGGGGGGAAACCCUGAUGCAGCGACGCCGCGUGAGGGAAGAAGGUUUUCGGAUUGUAAACCUCUGUCCUUGGUGACGAUAAUGACGGUAGCCAAGGAGGAAGCCACGGCUAACUACGUGCCAGCAGCCGCGGUAAUACGUAGGUGGCAAGCGUUGUCCGGAAUUACUGGGUGUAAAGGGAGCGUAGGCGGGAAAGCAAGUUGAAUGUUUAAACUAUCGGCUCAACUGAUAAUCGCGUUCAAAACUGUUUUUCUUGAGUGAAGUAGAGGUAGGCGGAAUUCCUAGUGUAGCGGUGAAAUGCGUAGAUAUUAGGAGGAACACCAGUGGCGAAGGCGGCCUACUGGGCUUUAACUG